rnacentral:misc_RNA from 1 species
GAAAAAGAAGAAAAAAAAAUAAACAAAAUUCUGUUGUCACACAUUUUGCCAAAAAACAAAAAAGAGAUUGAGAAGACACAAAUACAACAAUUAAUAAGGCAUUAGAGUCAAUUAUAUUUUAAAAAAUAGACAAACAACUAUCACAAGGUUUCAAACUCAAAAAUAAUAACAAUAAUCAAGUUUUAAUCUCAGACUAAUUGGAUCGGCAAAUUUUAAACUCCAAAAAUGUAAAAGAAAUUUUAAAGGGAAGAAUUCCAUGAAUUUUUGUUAACAUCACAGGACCAAAUCAGAAGAUAAAAGUGUCUAUAAACUAUCUACGUUUUUCACUUCACAUACACAAAAGCUAUUCCAAGGAAAGGUGGGUAAUUGAGAAAUGCAGUUUUAUGGAGGAGGAGGCACAGGUUCAAAUAGUGGAGGGCAGCAGCUUGUAAACAGACCACAGCAGCACAGAAACCACAAACAUGAAUCCAAGAAUCCUCCAGCAGGCGGAGCCGGUGGCAACAGUGGUGUACUUGGGGGUGGAGGAGGAUCCAUUGGUGACCCUAGAUGAUUGACAAAUACUUCUAUCAGAGGAAGGUAGAUGGUAUCAUAUGUUGGUUUUAUAUGCAUAGAUAUAUAUUAUGCAACACACCAUCUUCCAGUCCUAGGCUCAACUACCAUUCAAAGGGAGAUGCCAAGA